CCUACGGGGGGCAGCAGUGAGGAAUAUUGGUCAAUGGGCGAGAGCCUGAACCAGCCAAGUCGCGUGAAGGAUGACUGUCUUAUGGAUUGUAAACUUCUUUUGUAGGGGAAUAAAGAGGGGCACGUGUGCCUCAGUGAAUGUACCCUACGAAUAAGCAUCGGCUAACUCCGUGCCAGCAGCCGCGGUAAUACGGAGGAUGCGAGCGUUAUCCGGAUUUAUUGGGUUUAAAGGGUGCGUAGGCGGCCUGUUAAGUCAGCGGUGAAAUCUAGGAGCUUAACUCCUAAAUUGCCAUUGAUACUGGCGGGCUUGAGUGUAGAUGAGGUAGGCGGAAUGCGUGGUGUAGCGGUGGAAUGCAUAGAUAUCACGCAGAACUCCGAUUGCGAAGGCAGCUUACUAAGGUACAACUGACGCUGAAGCACGAAAGCGUGGGUAUCAAACAGGAUUAGAUACCCCGGUAGUC
rnacentral:rRNA from 1 species